GGGUUGUGAGGUUAAGCGACUAAGCGUACACGGUGGAUGCCUAGGCAGUCAGAGGCGAUGAAGGGCGUGCUAAUCUGCGAAAAGCGUCGGUAAGGUGAUAUGAACCGUUAUAACCGACGAUACCCGAAUGGGGAAACCCAGUGCAAUUCGUUGCACUAUUGCAUGGUGAAUACAUAGCCAUGCAAGGCGAACCGGGGGAACUGAAACAUCUAAGUACCCCGAGGAAAAGAAAUCAACCGAGAUUCCCCCAGUAGCGGCGAGCGAACGGGGAGGAGCCCAGAACCUGAAUCAGCGUAUGUGUUAGUGGAAGCGUCUGGAAAGUCGCACGGUACAGGGUGAUAGUCCCGUACACAAAAAUGCAUAUGUUGUGAGUUCGAUGAGUAGGGCGGGACACGUGACAUCCUGUCUGAAUAUGGGGGGACCAUCCUCCAAGGCUAAAUACUCCUGACUGACCGAUAGUGAACCAGUACCGUGAGGGAAAGGCGAAAAGAACCCCGGCGAGGGGAGUGAAAUAGAACCUGAAACCGUGUACGUACAAGCAGUGGGAGCACCUUCGUGGUGUGACUGCGUACCUUUUGUAUAAUGGGUCAGCGACUUAUAUUUUGUAGCAAGGUUAACCGAAUAGGGGAGCCGUAGGGAAACCGAGUCUUAACUGGGCGAAUAGUUGCAAGGUAUAGACCCGAAACCCGGUGAUCUAGCCAUGGGCAGGUUGAAGGUUGGGUAACACUAACUGGAGGACCGAACCGACUAAUGUUGAAAAAUUAGCGGAUGACUUGUGGCUGGGGGUGAAAGGCCAAUCAAACCGGGAGAUAGCUGGUUCUCCCCGAAAGCUAUUUAGGUAGCGCCUCGUGAACUCAUCUUCGGGGGUAGAGCACUGUUUCGGCUAGGGGGUCAUCCCGACUUACCAAACCGAUGCAAACUCCGAAUACCGAAGAAUGUUAUCACGGGAGACACACGGCGGGUGCUAACGUCCGUCGUGAAGAGGGAAACAACCCAGACCGCCAGCUAAGGUCCCAAAGUCAUGGUUAAGUGGGAAACGAUGUGGGAAGGCAUAGACAGCCAGGAUGUUGGCUUAGAAGCAGCCAUCAUUUAAAGAAAGCGUAAUAGCUCACUGGUCGAGUCGGCCUGCGCGGAAGAUGUAACGGGGCUAAACCAUGCACCGAAGCUGCGGCAGCGACACUUAGGUGUUGUUGGGUAGGGGAGCGUUCUGUAAGCCGUUGAAGGUGACCUGUGAGGGUUGCUGGAGGUAUCAGAAGUGCGAAUGCUGACAUAAGUAACGAUAAUGCGGGUGAAAAACCCGCACGCCGGAAGACCAAGGGUUCCUGUCCAACGUUAAUCGGGGCAGGGUGAGUCGACCCCUAAGGCGAGGCUGAAAAGCGUAGUCGAUGGGAAACAGGUUAAUAUUCCUGUACUUGGUGUUACUGCGAAGGGGGGACGGAGAAGGCUAGGCUAGCCGGGCGACGGUUGUCCCGGUUUAAGCAUGUAGGCGGAGUGACUUGGUAAAUCCGGUUGCUUAUCAACGCUGAGGUGUGAUGACGAGUCACUACGGUGAUGAAGUAGUUGAUGCCAAGCUUCCAGGAAAAGCCUCUAAGCAUCAGGUAACAUUAAAUCGUACCCCAAACCGACACAGGUGGUCAGGUAGAGAAUACUCAGGCGCUUGAGAGAACUCGGGUGAAGGAACUAGGCAAAAUGGUGCCGUAACUUCGGGAGAAGGCACGCUGGCAUUAGGUAAAGAGACUUGCUCUCGGCGCCGAAGCCAGUCGCAGAUACCAGCUGGCUGCAACUGUUUAAUAAAAACACAGCACUGUGCAAACACGAAAGUGGACGUAUACGGUGUGACGCCUGCCCGGUGCUGGAAGGUUAAUUGAUGGGGUCAGCCGCAAGGCGAAGCUCUUGAUCGAAGCCCCAGUAAACGGCGGCCGUAACUAUAACGGUCCUAAGGUAGCGAAAUUCCUUGUCGGGUAAGUUCCGACCUGCACGAAUGGCGUAAUGAUGGCCAGGCUGUCUCCACCCGAGACUCAGUGAAAUUGAACUCGCUGUGAAGAUGCAGUGUACCCGCGGCAAGACGGAAAGACCCCGUGAACCUUUACUAUAGCUUGACACUGAACAUUGAGCCUUGAUGUGUAGGAUAGGUGGGAGGCAUUGAAGUGUGGACGCCAGUCUGCAUGGAGCCAACCUUGAAAUACCACCCUUUAAUGUUUGAUGUUCUAACUCGGCCCCAUAAUCUGGGGUGAGGACAGUGUCUGGUGGGUAGUUUGACUGGGGCGGUCUCCUCCCAAAGAGUAACGGAGGAGCACGAAGGUUAGCUAAUCACGGUCGGACAUCGUGAGGUUAGUGCAAAGGCAUAAGCUAGCUUGACUGCGAGAGUGACGGCUCGAGCAGGUACGAAAGUAGGUCUUAGUGAUCCGGUGGUUCUGAAUGGAAGGGCCAUCGCUCAACGGAUAAAAGGUACUCCGGGGAUAACAGGCUGAUACCGCCCAAGAGUUCAUAUCGACGGCGGUGUUUGGCACCUCGAUGUCGGCUCAUCACAUCCUGGGGCUGAAGUAGGUCCCAAGGGUAUGGCUGUUCGCCAUUUAAAGUGGUACGCGAGCUGGGUUUAGAACGUCGUGAGACAGUUCGGUCCCUAUCUGCCGUGGGCGUUGGAAGAUUGAGAGGGGCUGCUCCUAGUACGAGAGGACCGGAGUGGACGAAUCACUGGUGUUCGGGUUGUCAUGCCAAUGGCAUUGCCCGGUAGCUAAAUUCGGAAGAGAUAACCGCUGAAAGCAUCUAAGCGGGAAACUUGCCUCGAGAUGAGUCUUCCCUGGGGCUUUAAGCCCCCUGAAGGAACGUUAAAGACUAUGACGUUGAUAGGCUGGGUGUGUAAGUGCAGCGAUGCAUUGAGCUAACCAGUACUAAUGAUCCGUGAGGCUUAACCUUACAACACCGAAGGUGUUU
rnacentral:rRNA from 1 species